rnacentral:rRNA from 1 species
GACGAACGCUGGCGGCGUGCCUAAUACAUGCAAGUCGAGCGAAUCAGUAGGAGCUUGCUCCUAUUGGUUAGCGGCGGACGGGUGAGUAACACGUGGGCAACCUGCCUGUAAGACUGGGAUAACUUCGGGAAACCGGAGCUAAUACCGGAUAAUCCUUUUCCUCUCAUGAGGGAAAGACUGAAAGAACGGUGCAAGCUGUCACUUACAGA